rnacentral:rRNA from 1 species
UUGGUUUUCGGACCAAGAGACCGGCGCACGGGUGCGUGACGCGUAUGCAAUCUACCUUUUGCAGAGGGAUAGCCCAGAGAAAUUUGGAUUAAUACCUCAUAGUAUAGUACUUUGGCAUCAAGGAACUAUUAAAGUCACAACGGCAAAAGAUGAGCAUGCGUCCCAUUAGCUAGUUGGUAAGGUAACGGCUUACCAAGGCUACGAUGGGUAGGGGUCCUGAGAGGGAGAUCCCCCACACUGGUACUGAGACACGGACCAGACUCCUACGGGAGGCAGCAGUGAGGAAUAUUGGACAAUGGGCGCAAGCCUGAUCCAGCAAUGCCGCGUGCAGGAUGACGGUCCUAUGGAUUGUAAACUGCUUUUAUACAGGAAGAAACACUCCGACGUGUCGGAGCUUGACGGUACUGUAAGAAUAAGGAUCGGCUAACUCCGUG